CACGUAGGCACCAAGCGUUAUCCGGAUUUAUUGGGCGUAAAGAGCUCGUAGGCGGUUCGGUAAGUCGGGUGUGAAAACUCUGGGCUCAACCCAGAGAGGCCACCCGAUACUGCUGUGACUAGAGUGCGGUAGGGGAGCGGGGAAUUCCUGGUGUAGCGGUGAAAUGCGCAGAUAUCAGGAGGAACACCAGCGGCGAAGGCGCCGCUCUGGGCCGUAACUGACGCUGAGGAGCGAAAGCAUGGGUAGCAAACAGG
rnacentral:rRNA from 2 species